ACCGGCGCACGGGUGCGUAACGCGUAUGCAAUCUACCUUUUACAGAGGGAUAGCCCAGAGAAAUUUGGAUUAAUACCUCAUAGUAUUAUAGAAUGGCAUCAUUUUAUAAUUAAAGUCACAACGGUAAAAGAUGAGCAUGCGUCCCAUUAGCUAGUUGGUAUGGUAACGGCAUACCAAGGCUACGAUGGGUAGGGGUCCUGAGAGGGAGAUCCCCCACACUGGUACUGAGACACGGACCAGACUCCUACGGGAGGCAGCAGUGAGGAAUAUUGGUCAAUGGGCGCAAGCCUGAACCAGCCAUGCCGCGUGCAGGAUGACGGUCCUAUGGAUUGUAAACUGCUUUUGUACAGGAAGAAACAGUUCUACGUGUAGAACCUUGACGGUACUGUAAGAAUAAGGAUCGGCUAACUCCGUGCCAGCAGCCGCGGUAAUACGGAGGAUCCAAGCGUUAUCCGGAAUCAUUGGGUUUAAAGGGUCCGUAGGCGGUUUAGUAAGUCAGUGGUGAAAGCCCAUCGCUCAACGGUGGAACGGCCAUUGA
rnacentral:rRNA from 1 species